GAAACCGUUCAGGGGUAAACCUGCGAAACUCGAAUGAACGAACGGAGAGAUUCAUCGUCAUUCCGCGGCGCGUCGUGCGUCGUUUCGAUACUGUCCCCCUCGGGGGGCGGUACCCACGACGUCGACCGUGUCCGCGGACGGCGUGCACUUCUCUCUUAGUAAGACAUCGCGACCCGUUCGAUGUACGUCUACGCCCCGUGCGGGAGCCCGGCGGCACUCGUUGCCGUCGGACCGCUCGGCGGCCGGCCUACUGUCGGACGGUAUAAAGAUUUGAACCGCGCACGCGCUUCGGCGCGUCCGGCACGACGCAAUAUGUCGCCGUACUGCGGUCCUGCCUCGCGGCGGUUCGCGGUACGGUGGUGUAUGUUGUCGCAGCCGUUAGUCUCGGACUGUGCGCGUCUCGGUCUGCGAUGAUUCAGUUUCGGGCACUCGCAGGACCCGUCUUGAAACACGGACCAAGGAGUCUAGCAUGUGUGCGAGUCAUUAAGAAUGUGAAAACUGAAAGGCGUAACGAAAGUGAAGGUGUGUGCUCGUCACGCGCUCAGGGAGGAUGGGGUGCGAUCUCGGUCGUACUCUCGCACUCCCGAGGCGU
rnacentral:rRNA from 1 species